rnacentral:rRNA from 1 species
CCUACGGGGGACUGCAGUGAGGAAUAUUGGUCAAUGGACGAGAGUCUGAACCAGCGAAGUAGCGUGAAGGCUGACUGCCCUAUGGGUUGUAAACUUCUUUUAUAUGGGAAUAAACUGUUCCACGUGUGGGAUUUUGUAUGUACCAUAUGAAUAAGGAUCGGCUAACUCCGUGCCAGCAGCCGCGGUAAUACGGGGGCUCCGAGCGUUAUCCGGAUUUAUUGGGUUUAAAGGGAGCGUAGGUGGAUUGUUAAGUCAGUUGUGAAAGUUUGCGGCUCAACCGUAAAAUUGCAGUUGAGACCGGCAGUCUUGAGUACAGUAGAGGUGGGCGGAAUUCGUGGUGUAGCGGUGACAUGCUUAGAUAUCACGAAGAACUCCGAUUGCGAAGGCAGUUCACUGGACUGCAACUGACACUGAGGCUCGAAAGUGUGGGUAUCAAACAGGAUUAGAUACCCUAGUAGUC